rnacentral:lncRNA from 1 species
CUUCUUCGAAUCAUGUUGAGAUAAUAGGUAUUCCUCAAGUAAGUAGAGAAUGUAUAUAGUUUGGAUUGUGAUACUUUUAAUCAAAGUAAGAUGAGUCUUGAAGUGUCAAGGUAUUAUCCACGGUCCUAAAUAAAUGUAUGCAAAGCCCAAUUAAAAGGAGUUUUCAUAAUUAAAAAAAAAAGAUAAAAUGAAAUAUAUUUUACCAAAAUUAUCCUUCCUACGUAAUCUCCAAAAGAAUGGUAAAUUAAGAAGAUGGUAUACAAGACUGAAAUAUAGGGACUUGGAUGAUUGAAUCUUGAUCUUCAUCAAAGGGAGUAAAAUGCUCAUUUUACUUUUUUCCCCUUUAUCAAGGUUUUCUUUCAAUGAAUUUUCUUAAUAAAGUUUUAAUGAAACAACUAGCAAAACAUAUUAUAAGAUAUGCAUACUUUUUCUCUUUACUAGAUUUUUUUCAAUGUAUUUUAUUUUAAUAAAUUUAACGAGACAUAUAAUCUAUUAGUGAACAUCGAAGGGGGAGUGUUGUGAAUACUCUUAAUUAUGAAUAUCCAUUUAUUAAUCACCACCACAGCUUACAAGCAAAUUACAAGUAGCUUUGCAAACAAGUUCUUACAAAUACUUCCUCAGUUUCAAAAUAAGUGGCACUUUUAACUCAUUUCACAUUCAUUAAAUAAAAUAAAUAAAAUAGAAGAAGUAGUUUACUAAGGUAUCCGCAUUUAUUAGUUACUGUAUCUUUAAAAUUGAAGACUAUUAAGAAAAAGCUCUUUAAUGCAAGAGUAUAGUUGUAAAAAUGUAUUAAUUUUUAUAUUGAAUCUAUUGUAUGGUAUGUGCUAGACUAUGAUGAAAGUGACACUUAUUUUAUAACAUUUUUUGGCUAAUGUGUCACUUAUUUUGAGAUUGAGAAAAUAACUUACAAGUAACUUUACAAACAGAUUUCUACAAGCAGCUUAAAGUCAUUUUGCAAGCAGAUUUCUAUAAGCAGCUUAAAAAUAGGUUUGCAAAUAGUGUCCUGCUUCUAUUAUUAUGUAAAUUGAAAGACAAUUCAAUUAAUUUGUAUGUCAGUUUCAGUAUUAAAAAAUAAUGUCUCUCUCGCUCUAAAUUUAUCUCUGUCUUUCAAAUGUAUUUACUUUAUAAUUUUUAUUUUAUAACAUAUUAAAUAUUUUUCUUAAAAUAUGAGUUACGUCUUUAAAAAAUUAUAAUAUGGACCAAAAAUACUACAACAAUUAGAGUAAAAAAGAUGAACUCGCAAUACAUUUGAAUUAAUGAGGGUCAAAGAUAAGUUCAUUAAGGGUUUCUUGGGAAAGGUAGAACUUCUUAGUUUUACAAAAUCAAAUAAAAUCUUACAACUUAUUUAAGAUUUCAUAAUUAACAUUAAAAUAUCAUAUACUCUAAUACUUAUUUUAACAUCAAGUCAAACAUAUUCUCUUAGAUUAAAUAAUUACUUGCAAUAUUUUUUUUUCUACUUUAUUUAAAAAUUAUACAAGCUAAUAGAUUUAAAUUAUAAAUAUUUAUUUAUUAACAUUUUAUAUAGAAUCAUACGAAGAAACAAAAGAUACUAAUUAAUACAUAAAUUGAUUUUAAAUCCAUUUAGAUUCGUUUAUGGUUGUUUAACAAACAAAAAUAAGGACCUACUGGAUGAACAUUUUAAUAAAUCAUAAUGUUAAAGGAUUGCCUUUAUGUCUUGUCUUAUAUAAAUUAAAAAUAAGAGAUCAAUUUAAUAUAGUAAGUAAGAAAUUUCUUUUUAAAUAAGCUGUCUACAUGAUGAGACAAUUUACUACCUCAAAUAAAGAGAAGCAAAAGAAUUAACAAGCUUUAACAUGAUCUAUAUUUUAGUAAUUUAACAUGAGAUAGUUAAUAUUACAUUUUAAAUAAGUUGUUUAAAAUAAUUUUAAUAGGUGCUGAGUAAAUAAUUACGUUUUCAUAAAUUAAAUAUAGUGCAAAUCUUUGUAAUGAUAUGUAUCAUGUGAAGUUGUGAAAUUAUGGAGGAAUCGCUUAUUGUGUUUGAUAGAUAAACACCUAUUCAAAAUUAAUGAGUAUUUUUUAUUAUCUUACUAUAAUAUUUUAAUAGUUAUUUAUGCAAUUAAAUGUGUGGCCAAAAUUACUUUCACAUUUUUAUUUUUUUAUGAAACAUAUGUGAGUAUUUGCACACCCUUCUAUAAACUACGUCACCCAAUAUUUCAAUUUAUAUAACCUUGAGUAAACAUCGAAUUCAAGAUACGUGAAAAAACUUCACAAUAUUUAUUCUGUGAUUUUGGAUAAGAGGAGAGAAAGUUUGUCUAAAUAUCAAAAUUAAAAAAAAAAAUUAAAUGGAACAAACUUCAAAUAUAAUUUCUCUUUAAAUUUAAAAUUAUUCUUUUCAUUUGAUUCAAGUAUAUUAUUUAAAUAAAUAAGAAAAAAAGAAGGGAUAAUAGUUCAAAAAAUACCUGUCCUUUGAAUAAAUUUGUAGUUGCGCAUACUGAACUUUGCGGGGGUCCUAUGACACCCCUGAACUAUUUAAAACUGAAAUUAUAAGACCUCUAAAGGCUGACAUGGCAAAGAGAGUGUGUCUCACUUCUUUAAGAGAGUGAGCACCAAAAAAUUAUUGAAGCUUUAUUUUUAAUAUAUAUAUAUAUAUAUAUAUAUAUAUAUAUAUAUAUAUAUAUUAAGUUCUUUCUUCUUUCUUUCACCAUACCCAAAAUCUCUCCACCACCACCCACCAAUGCAGCAGUAGCCACCAGCGUCAUCUCCGCCAUUUGACCACUUCUUCACCUUCUUUCAUUUUCCUCCCAUAUAAAUCUUCAACCUUUUCUCUUUUUUCAUUGCCCAAUUUUUUUUAAAAUCUUGUCAAAAUUUUAAGAAUUAAGAAUCUAACAUCAAAAAAAUUAAGAAUCUUUAAAUUAUGAACUUCAUCUCACUUAUCACAAUGAUGAUAGUGUAAUUUUUGAAUCUUCAAAACCCACCAUCAAAUUCUAAAUUACACCACAAAAAUAUUACCUUCAUAAUUCAAAUUAUGAAUUUUAUCUCACCCACCAUCACCACCCCAUUAGCUGUCACUGCCACUGCCACCCCUACUCUCACCCUCUCUUAUCAAAUUUGGAGUGGAAUUAAGAAAUUAAAUCUAAUGAAGAAGAAAUUGAAUAGUAGAAAUCUCUAAAUUCAAGUCAAUCUUUGCUAGAUGUGUAUUGGUGAAUUUAUCAAAUUGUAAACAAAUUCUAUCAUUAUUGUACUUAUUCUUCUUGUACGAUCAUAAAUUCAACAUCAAUUUUUGUAGUUUAUAAAUUAAAAGGAAAGAAAAGAAACAAAAAAGAUUGGCAGGUGGAUAUUCACGUUUUGAUUUCUGAAAUUGAAGAAAAUGAUAGAAAGAGAAAGAAAAAAGAUUUAAUGAGUAUUUUCAUUUUGACUUUUGAGAUUAAAGAAAACAAGAUGAAGAGAAAGGGAGAAAAGAGUUUGAGAUUAAAGAAAAUAAGAUGAAGAGAAAGGGA